UUGACCUCAAAUCAGGUAGGACUACCCGCUGAACUUAAGCAUAUCAAUAAGCGGAGGAAAAGAAACUAACAAGGAUUCCCUUAGUAACGGCGAGUGAACAGGGAAAAGCUCAAAUUUUAAAUCUGGCGGCCUUACGGUCGUCCGAGUUGUAAUCUAGAGAAGUGUUUUCCGCGCUGGACCGUGUACAAGUCCUUUGGAACAAGGCGUCAUAGAGGGUGAGAAUCCCGUCUACGACACGGACUACCAGUGCUUUGUGAUACACUCUCAACGAGUCGAGUUGUUUGGGAAUGCAGCUCAAAAUGGGUGGUAAAUUCCAUCUAAAGCUAAAUACAGGCGAAAGACCGAUAGCGAACAAGUACCGUGAGGGAAAGAUGAAAAGCACUUUGGAAAGAGAGUUAAACAGUACGUGAAAUUGUUGAAAGGGAAACGCUUGAAGUCAGUCGCGUCUUCAGAAACUCAGCCUAGCUUUUUUGCUUGGUGUACUUUUCUGUAAGACGGGCCAGCGUCAGUUUUGGCUGUCAGAAAAAGGUGAGAGGAAGGUGGCACCUCCGGGUGUGUUAUAGCCUCUCAUCGUAUGUGACGACCGGGACUGAGGACCGCAGCACGCCUUUAUGGCCGGGGUUCGCCCACGUAACGUGCUUAGGAUGCUGGCGUAAUGGCUUUAAACGACCCGUCUU
rnacentral:rRNA from 1 species